rnacentral:rRNA from 1 species
CCAGACUCCUACGGGAGGCAGCAGUGAGGAAUAUUGGUCAAUGGUCGGGAGACUGAACCAGCCAAGCCGCGUGAGGGAUGAAGGUACAGAGUAUCGUAAACCUCUUUUGUCAGGGAACAAAGGCGGGGACGCGUCCCCGGAUGAGUGUACCUGAAGAAAAAGCAUCGGCUAACUCCGUGCCAGCAGCCGCGGUAAUACGGAGGAUGCGAGCGUUAUCCGGAUUUAUUGGGUUUAAAGGGUGCGCAGGCGGUCUGUUAAGUCAGCGGUCAAAGCCCGGGGCUCAACCCCGGUCCGCCGUUGAAACUGGCAGUCUCGAGUUGGAGAGAAGUAUGCGGAAUGCGCGGUGUAGCGGUGAAAUGCAUAGAUAUCGCGCAGAACUCCGAUUGCGAAGGCAGCAUGCCGGCUCCACACUGACGCUGAGGCACGAAAGCGUGGGUAUCGAACAGGAUUAGAUACCCCAGUA